ACCUCAAAGCUUGGUGUUUCCUGAGCAACGCUUACUCAGAGUGAACUGCGUGAGAUGCCCUGCCCUGAGCACAGAGUUUAUUUGAAGGACUCUCAGAAGCUUGACUGAUGUCAUUCCUGCUCUCUGGCUCCCAUCACAGGGAGGGCACAGGAGAAUCACCUUUUGAGCCUGCCAGGCUGAAGGCCGGGCUCCUUUGCGGUACUGCCCCGGAGGGUCAAGUCUACUUUUAAGACUUUUCUCUUUAUUAUUGGUUACACCAUUGUUGGAGCUUGAGCACACAGCGUGGAUCAGAGGUGGAAGCCAGGUCUGGAAAUGGCAGAGCAAGAUGAUGAGAGGAGCCAGGUUCUCAGAGAGAAGAGGAAUGAUUCCAGCCCUUUGCCAUCACCUCUGGACUACACUUACUUGAGGGAGAAAUAGGCUUUUAUAUUUUUUUAAAUUUUGUUUUUGCCACUGUUAUUUUGGAUUUUUCUAUUACUCAGAACUCAACUUAAUCCUGACUGACAUAAACUACAGAAUUAUUUUGACAAAAAUAAAUCCUGUUGAGAUUCCAAUUGGAAAUGACACUGAAGUCAUAUAUUAAUUUAUGGGGAAUUGACUUCUUAGCAAUAUUGUCUUCCCAACCAGGAACACGCUCGGCGCUUUCACUUAUUCGUGCCUUCUUUGAUGUUACAAUAAGCAUUUGAAAAAUCCUCAAAGACUGUUUUUAUCUUUGUUUUACAUAUUGUGUGUUUCAAGUAUGUGUUACCCUUUGAAUUAUAAGACAAAAACAACACCAAGGCAAUUAAAGUAUUACGGAACAAUGCAGAAAUGUAAACCCAGGGUGAGCCUAAAUAAAAGAAAAAAAUCUGCUUGUUAA